UUAAUGAAGCGGUGGAAAAGAAAACAAACGUGAUUCCUUUAGUAACGGCGAGUGAAAAAGGAUAAGCCCAACGCAAAGUCGACUAUGGCGAAAGCUGUGGUCGAGGUGCUGCGGUAUAUGUGUGCUACCGGAGUGACGGGUACUGUUUUUAGAGACCAUUGACUUGGAUCUCUCACAGACGGUGAUAGGCCGGUAAAAAGCAGCUACUCGUUGCCCGAUCACGUAUACGUUUGAGUCAGCUUGUUCGAGAGUGCAAGUUAAAUUAGAAGGUAAACUCCUUCUAAGGCUAAAUAACGCGAUAGAACCGAUAGUAAACAAGUACCGUGAGGGAAAGUUGAAAAGAACUUUGAAGAGAGAGUUAAAAAGGACGUGAAACCGAUUGCAGGGAAGCAGAAAGAGUGGCGAAGUGUAGAAGCUCAUGCUAACUCAAGUGCACGGUGUGUGGCCUAUCGGCUGUGAUCAAUGACUGUGUCGGCCUUAACGGGUCUCACUGGUCGAAGAUUGCUGGCUGGUGUGAGCUGCCGCUGUGUGCUGCAUUUUAGCUAUGKGCAUUCUCGAGUCUCGAACAUUGGAUCAGCGUUCAUGUAUGUGCCAGGCUUCGGCCUCGGUGCGUCGCGGACGGCAUGUGUAUAUUCGCCUUCGGUCCUUGCGGCUGUUGGUGAGUGUACUGUCGCUUCGUGUAGACAAAAACUUUGUCGCUGAACGAUAUGUGUUCAAUGUACAUGCGAUCCGUACUGCUGUUGCGUACGMCAUCUCUCUACGUUGUUGUGACUUGAUGGCUUGCCGCGCGUUUCGACUCACGCGGUCCGAUGGUGUUAACUCAUUGUCGGCCGUGUGUGUGACUUAGAGGCGUGUAGCUGGUGAGUCGGCCUGUCACGGCUGUAUGAAAGAUAAAUAGCCGAGACGAGUAGAUCAGCGCUCUCUCUGUCCCGUCUUGAAACACGGACCAAGGAGUCUUGUUCAUACACGAGUCUAAUGGUCUUGAAUAGGCCAAUUGGGCGAAGCUAAUGCGAACCAUACCAAUGUCAUGUCAGUAUGUCUGUUUAAUCACGGAUUACGGUGGCGAGCAGUGUGGGCCUGCACUAUAACUCUAUCGAGUUUUGUGUGGCGUUCGAGUGUAUGGACCGGUACCCGAAAGAUGGUGAACUAUGCUUGGGCAGGAUGAAGCCAGAGGAAACUCUGGUGGAGGUCUGCAGCGGUUCUGACGUGCAAAUCGAUCGUCAGACCCGAGUAUAGGGGCGAAAGACUAAUCGAACCAUCUAGUAGCUGGUUACCUCUGAAGUUUCCCUCAGGAUAGCUGGCGCGAUAUGAACAUUAGCAUCCGGUAGAGCGAAUGAUUAGAGGCAUUGGGGUCGAAACGACCUCAACCUCUUCUCAAACUUCUAAUGGGUGCGAAGUGCAACUAUGCGGAAGCUCGUUGUACAUAAUAUGGAACACGUGCCAAGUGGGCCAUUUUUGGUAAGCAGAACUGGCGCUGUGGGAUGAACCAAACGCAGUGUUAAAGUGUCCAAGGCUGACGCUCAUGAGAUCCCAUGAAGGGUGUUGGUUGCUGAAGACAGCAGGACGGUGGCCAUGGAAGUCGGAAUCCGCUAAGGAGUGUGUAACAACUCACCUGCCGAAGCAACUAGCCCCGAAAAUGGAUGACGCUUAAGCGUUGCACUUAUACACUGCCGUGAGGUUAAUCUUCUUUAUAAGCGAAAUAAAACCUCACGAGUAAGAGGUUCGCAGUGGCGACGUCGAAGGCUAAAGGACAUGAGUCCGGCUGGAGUCGCCACUGUUGCAGAUCUUGGUGGUAGUAGCAAAUACUCAAGUGUGACCCUUGAGGUCCGAGGUGGAGAAGGGUUCCAUGUCAACAGCAGUUGAACAUGGGUCAGCCGGUCCUAAGGAAAGCGGCGAAAGCCGUGCCAUUGUCCACGAUUGUGUCAAAGUUGUAUAUGCGUGUAAGCUGAGGAUAAUUGAAUUGAAUGAAUUAAAUUUUAUUCUAUGAUUUUUUCCAAAGCGCGCACGCUACCACGGCGAACAUUGUCGAAGAUGGUGGUAUAUUCCGAAAGGGAAUCGGGUUAAAAAUCCCGAGCCUAGAGACGGAGAUUCCUCUCCUYACGGAGGGUAAGCGGUAACGCAAGUCGACUCGGAGACAUCUUUACAGGUCCCGGAGAGAGUUGUCUUCUCUUUGUAAGGUUCUUCGACCAUGGAAUCGGUUCAUCCGGAGAUAUGGUCUUAGGUACCGAAAAGCAUCGCGGUUUAUGCGGUGUCCGGUGUACAUGUAAGGGUCCUUGAAAAUCCGAGUCGAUUAAUGAAUUUCGCUCUAGUCCGUACCCAUUUCCGCAGCAGGUCUCCAAGGUUAACAGCCUCUGGUCGAUAGAAUAAUGUAGAUAAGGGAAGUCGGCAAAGCUGAUCCGUAACUUCGGGAUAAGGAUUGGCUCUGAAGACUGAGCUUACCGGGCUUUGGAUUCAAAGCGCGGCUUGUUACUCGCGGGACUGGUGUCGUGUCUGUCGCUAC
rnacentral:rRNA from 1 species